rnacentral:rRNA from 1 species
CCCUUAGACGCUCUGGGCCGCACGCGCGCUACACUGACCAGUGCAACAAGCAUCCGUCCUUGGCCGACAGGCUCGGGCAAUCUUUGAACGCUGGUCGUGAUGGGGAUAGACUUUUGCAAUUUUUGGUCUUCAACGAGGAAUUCCUAGUAAACGCAAGUCAUCAACUUGCAUUGAUUACGUCCCUGCCCUUUGUACACACCGCCCGUCGCACCUACCGAUUGAAUGGUCCGGUGAAGCCUCCGGAUUGGCGCGCACCUCGGUGCCGCCGAGAAGUUGGCUAAACCUUACCAUUUAGAGGAAGGUGAAGUCGUAACA